rnacentral:lncRNA from 1 species
GAAGAGUAAGAGUGUUGAACAAGAAAAUAAUGUAAGUGAAAAAUAAAAUUAUUGAACGUUAUUCUAAAUUGCAUAUGAUUUCUAUAUUCAACAUAAUAAAUUCUACAAUUGGUUAUGAAUUUUACAGCUUAGAGAUGGAAGCUUGAAUGGUUCAAAUAACCUUCAAAAUAGGAAAUUCAAAUUGUUAUCUUAGUUUGGGAAAGCUGAUGUUGUUGCAAAAUGUGAAAUCGCAUCAACAAAUCCAAGUGAUUUGGUGCAUCAUGUACCACUUGGUAAUGAAUGUUGGAGAGUUUGGGUUAAUGAAGUGAUUGAUAAUGUCAGCUUAUAUCAUCCUACACGUGAGCUUUUUCUUCUUGAAGAUGCAUUAGGAAGUACAAUAGCAUGGCCAAUUAGAUACAUUGAAGUGGAUUCACUAUAAUCACAAUGAAGGUAUGCUUAACUUCUUUUCUAUUUUAAUUUCACAAUUCAUUAGGCAAAUAUGUUACAAUUCUAGUCCUUCUAGCAUUCUUGCUUUUGUGGGUCUAACACUUUUAAUUGGCCAUUGAUGACCAUUGAGUGGAACUUGAUCAUUGACAUUUGAUGAAAUUUCAGGUACAAGCAAAUUACAAAUGAGCAUUGCUGAAGUCUCACCUAGAUCGAGCUCCACACUCAUGUGAUUGGAAAGCAUUCUUUUGUUUGUAAAAUAACUUAUUAGUGUUGGUUGAACUUAUGUCUGUUGGUUGAGAGGCAAUUAGUUAUGAAUCAGGCUUGUCAUUUGUUGAACUUAUGUCUAUUGGUCGAGAAAAUGAAAAGUAG